rnacentral:rRNA from 1 species
GAUGAACGCUGGCGGCGUGCCUAAUACAUGCAAGUCGAGCGAACAGAUGAGGAGCUUGCUCCUCUGACGUUAGCGGCGGACGGGUGAGUAACACGUGGAUAACCUACCUAUAAGACUGGGAUAACUUCGGGAAACCGGAGCUAAUACCGGAUAAUAUAUUGAACCGCAUGGUUCAAUAGUGAAAGACGGUUUUGCUGUCACUUAUAGAUGGAUCCGCGCCGCAUUAGCCAGUUGGUAAGGUAACGGCUUACCAAGGCAACGAUGCGUAGCCGACCUGAGAGGGUGAUCGGCCACACUGGAACUGAGACACGGUCCAGACUCCUACGGGAGGCAGCAGUAGGGAAUCUUCCGCAAUGGGCGAAAGCCUGACGGAGCAACGCCGCGUGAGUGAUGAAGGGCUGCGGAUCGUAAAACUCUGUUAUUAGGGAAGAACAAAUGUGUAAGUAACUAUGCACGUCUUGACGGUACCUAAUCAGAAAGCCACGGCUAACUACGC